rnacentral:rRNA from 1 species
AUUGAACGCUGGCGGCAUGCCUUACACAUGCAAGUCGAACGGCAGCACGGGAGCAAUCCUGGUGGCGGGUGGCGAACGGGUGAGUAAAGUAUAGGAACGUGCCCAGUCGUGGGGGAUAACGUAGCGAAAGUUACGCUAAUACCGCAUACGAUCUAUGGAUGAAAGCGGGGGAUCGCAAGACCUCGCGCGAUUGGAGCGGCCGAUAUCAGAUUAGGUAGUUGGUGGGGUAAAGGCUCACCAAGCCGACGAUCUGUAGCUGGUCUGAGAGGACGACCAGCCACACUGGGACUGAGACACGGCCCAGACUCCUACGGGAGGCAGCAGUGGGGAAUUUUGGACAAUGGGCGAAAGCCUGAUCCAGCCAUGCCGCGUGCAGGAUGAAGGCCUUCGGGUUGUAAACUGCUUUUGUACGGAACGAAAAGGUUUGGGCUAAUAAGCUGAGCUCAUGACGGUACCGUAAGAAUAAGCACCGGCUAACUACGUGCCAGCAGCCGCAGUAA